rnacentral:rRNA from 1 species
GAUGAACGCUGGCGGCGUGCCUAAUACAUGCAAGUCGAGCGAACAGACGAGGAGCUUUCUCCUCUGACGUUAGCGGCGGACGGGUGAGUAACACAUGGAUAACCUACCUAUAAGACUGGGGUAACUUCGGGAAACAGGAGCUAAUACCGGAUAAUAUAUUGAACGGCAUGAUUCAAUAGUGAAAGACGGUUUUGCUGUCACUUAUAGAUGGAUCCGUGUCGGAUUAGCUAGUUGGUAAGGUAACGGCUUACCAAGGCGACGAUGCGUAGCCGAACUGAGAGGGUGAUCGGCCACACUGGAACUGAGACACGGUCCAGACUCCUACGGGAGGCAGCAGUAGGGAAUCUUCCGCAAUGGGCGAAAGCCUGACGGAGCAACGCCGCGUGAGUGAUGAAGGUCUUCGGAUCGUAAAACUCUGUUAUUAGGGAAGAACAAAUGUGUAAGUAACUAUGCACGUCUUGACGGUACCUAAUCAGAAAGCCACGGCUAACUACGUG